AAACCCGCCAUUUGCAACAACAUGGCUAGACAUAGAGGGUAUUAUAUGCUAAGUGAAAUCAGUCAGAGAAAGACGGACACCAUGUGAUUUCACAUAUAUGCCGAAUCUAAAACAAAACCGAAAGAACAAACUCAAGAAGAGAAACAGACUCAUAAAUACAGAGAACCAACAAACUGCCCAAAACAGGGAGAAAGUAAGAAAAGGAGGUACAAACCAUGAAACUUUUUCAAGCACUGGAUACCUCUUCUGUUUUCAGCAACUUGUGAAAAGCAGGCCAAAACUUAAAAAACGGAAAUGCCCAUCAACGUUAACAGCGCACACAGGAAGUUACAUUUUCUGUGCUUAAAAUCGUCACGGAGUCAAGCAUCCUUCUUAUCCCGGAAAGGGCUGAAGCUGUAUCUGGAAUAUGGGCAGCUCGGUGAUCUCCCAGAUAACGUGAUAGAAAGCUGCCUUCCAGCCGGCUGAAUUAGCAAGUUUAAGUCCAAGAUUUUUGUUGGCUUUGAAACGAAGACCCAGAAGAGCAGAAACUCCCAUCUGUUUUGUUCCCUGAUGAAUCCCGAGUGCCUGAGCGGGGCCUGAUGUGCAGGAAGCAUCCAUAAACAUUUGUUGAGUGAGUUAAAUGUCAGCAUACAAAUAACCAGAGAACAUAUGAACAUGUUGGUUCAGAGCUGUAGGCGAUGGAGAGCAAAAAGCAAUAACUUGAACUUGGACAACUGCACAGUGGGGGCUAUAUUUCCAAAGCUGUUCUAAUGACAUUUGCCUUCCUUCCGCCAUGUUUCUGUGCUAAAAAUCCUGUGCCAAGGGGCACCUGGGGGCUUAGUCAGUUGAGCAUCCGACUCUUGAUUUCGGCUCAGAUCACAACCUCGGGGUUGUGACAUCGAGCCCCGAACCAGACCCCACUCUCUGCUUGGAGUCCACUUGUCCCCCUCCCUAUUCCCACUUGCGUGUGCGCUCUCAAAUAAAUAUACAAUGCUUCUCUUCACAGAGAACCAGCCUCCAGCUCCAGGUUAGUCCUCAUGCAUCGUGAUAUUAAAUCAGACUUGGCCGUGAAAAGGAAGUGUUCUAACUGCAUUCUGUCUGGUCUUCGGUUAAUUUCUAACUCUCUCUAAUUUGGGGACCUGCCUUUUAUGGUUUCAAGUUGUCCUCCUGGUUUUUAUCUGCACUGCUUUCUCAGUUAGGGUAAUAGGGAUAUUGCUCUCCAAGUGUCCAAAAUCUAUUAGGACAAUCCUAUAGGGGAAUGGGGGAGGGGAGCAUUUGGGUGACUUCCAUACUUUUGAAUCCUCUUUCUCAAAACUGGGGGAACUGUCAUUGCCUGAGCCCAUCUUCAGGCACGCUAACACUCGGGACUUUGGACUUGUGUUUAAUAUUUCCUCAUUCACCCAUUCAUUCCAGCCAUCACCUGACUACUACAGGGCGCCCUGCUUGCCUCUAGGCAUCCAGAGAUAAGAAACCUAGACUUUUUUCUUCAAUGGCACCGCAGGCCCUUUACAGCAGAAUCCGGCUGAUUCUUAUCUAUAACCUUCGCAGUACCUGGGAGGUAACCGAG